rnacentral:rRNA from 1 species
CAGCAGCCGCGGUAAUGCGUAGGUGGCAAGCGUUGUCCGGAAUUAUUGGGCGUAAAGGGCUCGCAGGCGGUUUCUUAAGUCUGAUGUGAAAGCCCCCGGCUCAACCGGGGAGGGUCAUUGGAAACUGGGAAACUUGAGUGCAGAAGAGGAGAGUGGAAUUCCACGUGUAGCGGUGAAAUGCGUAGAGAUGUGGAGGAACACCAGUGGCGAAGGCGACUCUCUGGUCUGUAACUGACGCUGAGGAGCGAAAGCGUGGGGAGCGAACAGGAUUAGAUACCCCGGUAGUCCCUGUCUCUUAUAC